rnacentral:rRNA from 1 species
GACGAACGCUGGCGGCGUGCUUAACACAUGCAAGUCGAACGGUAAGGCCCUUCGGGGUACACGAGUGGCGAACGGGUGAGUAACACGUGGGUGAUCUGCCCUACACUUCGGGAUAAGCCUGGGAAACUGGGUCUAAUACCGGAUAGGACCACUGCCUGCAUGGGUGGUGGUGGAAAGCUUUUGCGGUGUGGGAUGGGCCCGCGGCCUAUCAGGUUGUUGGUGGGGUGAUGGCAUACCAAGGCGACGACGGGUAGCCGGCCUGAGAGGGUGACCGGCCACACUGGGACUGAGAUACGGCCCAGACUCCUACGGGAGGCAGCAGUGGGGAAUAUUGCACAAUGGGCGCAAGCCUGAUGCAGCGACGCCGCGUGAGGGAUGACGGCCUUCGGGUUGUAAACCUCUUUCAGCACCGACGAAGCGCAAGUGACGGUAGGUGCAGAAGAAGGACCGGCCAACUACGUGCCAGCCGCCGCCGUAA